GCGAGUGUAGUUCAAUGGUAGAACGAGAGCUUCCCAAGCUCUAUACGAGGGUUCGAUUCCCUUCACUGCUCC
rnacentral:tRNA from 1 species